ACCUUUUUGGCUCAGUGGAUAGAGCAUCAGCCUGCAGACUGAAGGGUCCCAGGUUCGAUUCCGGUCAAGGGCA
rfam:Myotis davidii contig95180, whole genome shotgun sequence.